AAAUUGAAGAGUUUGAUCAUGGCUCAGAUUGAACGCUGGCGGCAGGCCUAACACAUGCAAGUCGAACGGUAACAGGAAGCAGCUUGCUGCUUUGCUGACGAGUGGCGGACGGGUGAGUAAUGUCUGGGAAACUGCCUGAUGGAGGGGGAUAACUACUGGAAACGGUGGCUAAUACCGCAUAACGUCGCAAGACCAAAGAGGGGGACCUUCGGGCCUCUUGCCAUCAGAUGUGCCCAGAUGGGAUUAGCUAGUUGGUGAGGUAACGGCUCACCAAGGCGACGAUCCCUAGCUGGUCUGAGAGGAUGACCAGCCACACUGGAACUGAGACACGAUUCAGACUCCUACGGGAGGCAGCAGUGGGGAAUAUUGCACAAUGGGCGCAAGCCUGAUGCAGCCAUGCCGCGGGUAUGAAGAAGGCCUUCGGGUUGUAAAAGUACUUUCAGCGGGGAGGAAGGUGUUGUGGUUAAUAACCGCAGCAAUUGACGUUACCCGCAGAAGAAGCACCGGCUAACUCCGUGCCAGCAGCCGCGGUAAUACGGAGGGUGCAAGCGUUAAUCGGAAUUACUGGGCGUAAAGCGCACGCAGGCGGUCUGUCAAGUCGGAUGUGAAAUCCCCGGGCUCAACCUGGGAACUGCAUUCGAAACUGGCAGGCUUGAGUCUUGUAGAGGGGGGUAGAAUUCCGGUGUAGCGGUGAAAUGCGUAGAGAUCUGGAGGAAUACCGGUGGCGAAGGCGGCCCCUGGACAAAGACUGACGCUCAGGUGCGAAAGCGUGGGGAGCAAACAGGAUUAGAUACCCUGGUAGUCCACGCCGUAAACGAUGUCUACUUGGAGGUUGUGCCCUUGAGGCGUGGCUUCCGGAGCUAACGCGUUAAGUAGACCGCCUGGGGAGUACGGCCGCAAGGUUAAAACUCAAAUGAAUUGACGGGGGCCCGCACAAGCGGUGGAGCAUGUGGUUUAAUUCGAUGCAACGCGAAGAACCUUACCUGGUCUUGACAUCCACAGAAGAAUCCAGAGAUGGAUUUGUGCCUUCGGGAACUGUGAGACAGGUGCUGCAUGGCUGUCGUCAGCUCGUGUUGUGAAAUGUUGGGUUAAGUCCCGCAACGAGCGCAACCCUUAUCCUUUGUUGCCAGCGGUCCGGCCGGGAACUCAAAGGAGACUGCCAGUGAUAAACUGGAGGAAGGUGGGGAUGACGUCAAGUCAUCAUGGCCCUUACGACCAGGGCUACACACGUGCUACAAUGGCGCAUACAAAGAGAAGCGACCUCGCGAGAGCAAGCGGACCUCAUAAAGUGCGUCGUAGUCCGGAUUGGAGUCUGCAACUCGACUCCAUGAAGUCGGAAUCGCUAGUAAUCGUGGAUCAGAAUGCCACGGUGAAUACGUUCCCGGGCCUUGUACACACCGCCCGUCACACCAUGGGAGUGGGUUGCAAAAGAAGUAGGUAGCUUAACCUUCGGGAGGGCGCUUACCACUUUGUGAUUCAUGACUGGGGUGAAGUCGUAACAAGGUAACCGUAGGGGAACCUGCGGUUGGAUCACCUCCUUA
rnacentral:rRNA from 1 species